rnacentral:rRNA from 1 species
GACCCUCUCGAUACUGACCACGUAGAUACCCGAUGUUCUGUCCCGACGUUACGACGAACGUUACGACGAGAAAUAUUAGGUAUAUCAUGUUUGUGUAUGUUUAAUGUAACUACACCCUGAAUUUAUUUAGGUGUUAAACCAGGGAUUUUACGUUCGUUCACUGCGGCCGCGUAACAUACAGAUUGGGUGUUCGUGACGUGUACACGCGGGUACCCUGUCGUUGGUUUUAGACUUUAUGCGUUUUUACAGUUGACACUCGUUUUAUCUGUGGUUUGUUUUUAGCAGCUGCUGUCGUGCGUGUAGAGGCGCCUGACGUGCUAAGCAGCAAGCCGUGGGGUAGAGGUGCCUGACGUACGUGUACCCGAAGCGUGACGUGCGGGCACGGGGUACUUAGCGCUGGUGGAGUUUUGUGUUUGUUUGUUUUUUUAGUUUACUACCUGACGUGCGUGCGGCCGUCGUCGGGCGUAGACCCGUAAGAGCUGAGAGCAAAAAAACAACCACCAAGACGGAGGACACCUCGCUCGUUCGUUCGUCACCGUGGCGGUAAUAACUCUGGGUUGUGAUGAGGUUGGUGCCGAAACAAUCACCUAGUCAGGUUUUGUUGUACUAAGUCCGUCGCGAUUCACGCAAGCCAUGUGUUGUUUUGCGGCCUCAACCAGUAUAUCUGUUUCGCUUUGACUUCGCCUUCAGUCGCACGUGGCACCCAGCCCACCCCCACGUAUACCAGACGAGGUCGCUGGUCGCCUCUGCCCCGGCGGCCGGCGGUGUCUCCACGUUGAGCAGCCGCCUUUCCCACAGGUGUCCCUCCCGCUGUUUACGCUCCCGCCGAGCAGCCUAGGGUCCUGGACAACCGAGGUUUGCUACCACCACCUCCCCCACGUCAACUAGAACCUACCCAGUUGUGUAGACGACCGCUUGACGUCACGUCUUCCCUCUUAUCGUGACGUAACGUCUAGGCUGGUGCUCGGAGCACGGUGAUCUGACGUUCGUGUUAGCGGCCACCUAACCUGUAGGUCGGCGUGGCGUGACAGCGGGGUUGUAUUUACGUCGCUACACGGGUUCACUUUAGACUUUUUCGUUUUUUGUUAACUACCCCUCCUCUCCUGCGAGCUCCGGCCACCAACACCGUAGCACCGGCUGCUGCUCCCUCCGGUCGUCUCCGUUCGCCACCGGCCGCUUGGACGUACUUCUGACCCCGGCGUUGGCUCGAUGUGCCCCAGGCCACACCCACGCCGCUCCGCCGUACGGGUCUCACCCGCCACCACCUCCACGUCCCGUGCGACGUCGGCGUCGGGACGAGGAGGCCGGCGUAGGUUCCGGAGGUGUAGCCGGCGGAGACGAGGUGAAGGAGGCGGGGCAGGAGGUUCCUUUCUUGGUGCUUGAGAGGAGCACCGCCAGCCCGCGCUUCUUAUUCUACCGCCCCGCCGCGGACGAGUGCCACGGGUCUGCGCCUCUCCUUCCGCCAACCGACCACGACCGAACGGUGGCGGCGCGCGUCUCUACCUCCGCUACCUCGUUCCUUCCACCACCCCGCCGAACGCCACCGCUCGUACCUCUCCUUCCGGCGAGUCCCCUCGGGACCAGCGCGCCCCUCCCUCCGCGCUGUCGCAGGACCCUCACCACGAGGCCGCCACCGCAACCUUCUUCCACCUGCCCCCCAACCCGCGCUGCGCCCUUCCCUCCACCACACCGCCGUGCCGUCCCUCCACCAGGCCGUCGUGUCCCUCCACCAGCACGCCCCCACCUCCACCAGCACGUUCUCACCUCGUGCCCCUCUCUGUCUCCACCUCCUCUCCUAUUCCACCCACCCAACCCCACAAUCGUCUUAUUCGGGGCCCACACGUUUUAUU